AACGAACGCUGGCGGCAGGCUUAACACAUGCAAGUCGAGCGCCCCGCAAGGGGAGCGGCAGACGGGUGAGUAACGCGUGGGAACGUACCCUUUGCUACGGAAUAGCUCCGGGAAACUGGAAGUAAUACCGUAUGUGCCCUACGGGGGAAAGAUUUAUCGGCAAAGGAUCGGCCCGCGUUGGAUUAGCUAGUUGGUGGGGUAAUGGCCUGCCAAGGCGACGAUCCAUAGCUGGUCUGAGAGGAUGAUCAGCCACAUUGGGACUGAGACACGGCCCAAACUCCUACGGGAGGCAGCAGUGGGGAAUAUUGGACAAUGGGCGCAAGCCUGAUCCAGCCAUGCCGCGUGAGUGAUGAAGGCCUUAGGGUUGUAAAGCUCUUUCACCGGAGAAGAUAAUGACGGUAUCCGGAGAAGAAGCCCCGGCUAACUUCGUGCCAGCCGCCGCAGUAAAAC
rnacentral:rRNA from 1 species